rnacentral:rRNA from 1 species
GAUGAACGCUGGCGGCGUGCCUAACACAUGCAAGUCGAGCGAUUCUCUUCGGAGAAGAGCGGCGGACGGGUGAGUAACGCGUGGGUAACCUGCCCUGUACACACGGAUAACAUACCGAAAGGUAUGCUAAUACGGGCUAACAUAAGAAAUUCGCAUGUCUUUCUUAUCAAAGCUCCGGCGGUACAGGAUGGACCCGCGUCUGAUUAGCUAGUUGGUGAGGUAACGGCUCACCAAGGCGACGAUCAGUAGCCGACCUGGGAGGGUGAUCGGCCACAUUGGAACUGAGACACGGUCCAAACUCCUACGGGAGGCAGCAGUGGGGAAUAUUGCACAAUGGGCGAAAGCCUGAUGCAGCAACGCCGCGUGAGCGACGAAGGCCUUCGGGUCGUAAAGCUCUGUCCUCAAGGAAGAUAAUGACGGUACUUGAGGAGGAAGCCCCGGCUAACUACGUGCCAGCCGCCGCGGUAAAAC